rnacentral:rRNA from 1 species
GACGAACGCUGGCGGCGUGCUUAACACAUGCAAGUCGAACGGAAAGGCCCUACUAUCGUGGGGUGCUCGAGUGGCGAACGGGUGAGUAACACGUGAGUAACCUGCCCUACUCUUUGGGAUAACUUCAGGAAACUGGGGCUAAUACCGUAUAGGAGCUCCCGCUGCAUGGUGGGGGUUGGAAAGUUUCGGCGGUUGGGGAUGGACGCGCGGGUUACCAGCUUGUUGGUGGGGUAGUGGCUUACCCAGGCUUUGACGGAUAGCCGGCCUGAGAGGGUGGCCGGGCACAAUGGGACUGAGAUAGGGCGCAGAGUGCUACGGUGGGCAGUAGUGGGGAGUAUUGCACAGUGAGCGCGAGCCUGUGACAGCGACGCCGCGUGCGUGAUGACGGCCUUCUGGUUGUAAACCGCUUUAGGCUGUGACGAAGCGUGUGUGACGGUAAUGGGUAAAGAAGCACCGGCUAACUACGUG